GAUGAAGAACCAGCGAAAUGCGAUAAGUAAUGUGAAUUGCAGAAUUCAGUGAAUCAUCGAAUCUUUGAACGCACAUUGCGCCCGCCAGUAUUCUGGCGGGCAUGCCUGUUCGAGCGUCAUUACAACCCUCAGGCCCCCGGGCCUGGCGUUGGGGAUCGGCGGAGCCCCCCGUGGGCACACGCCGUCCCCCAAAUACAGUGGCGGUCCCGCCGCAGCUUCCAUCGCGUAGUAGCUAACACCUCGCGACUGGAGAGCGGCGCGGCAACGCCGUAAAACACCCAACUCUUCUGAAGUUGACCUCGAAUCAGGUAGGAAUACCCGCUGAACUUAAGCAUAUCAAUAAGCGGAGGA
rnacentral:misc_RNA from 1 species